UAAAUAGCAGAGCUUAUAACUCGUACCUUUUGCAUCAUGGUCUAGCUAGUCCAAUUGAGCAAAAUGAAUUUUAGUUCUACUCCCCGAAACUGAGUGAGCUACUUCGAAAUAGCCGCAAGAGCAAACCCGUCUCUGUUGCAAAAGAGUGGGAAAAUUUCCAAGUAGAGGCGACAAACCUACCGCACCGAGAGAUAGCUGGUUACUCAAGAAAAGAAUGUUAGUUCUACCUUAAGUUUUAUUAGUUAUCAUAAACUCAGAUUAAACUUAAGAGCUAUUCAAAUAAGGCACAGCUUAUUUGAAAAAGGAUACAACCUCCAAUACUGGGUAAUUAAAUAAGAAAAACUGCUAAGUGGGCCUAAAAGCAGCCAUCUUUCAAAAAGCGUUAAAGCUUUACAUUUAUUCUUUAAAAAUGACAUAAUUAUUAUUUAACCCUCCACUAUAUGAGUAUUCCAUAAUAUAUGGAAGAUAUAAUGCUAGAACUAGUACAGAAGUUGUACUUCUCCAAAAUGUAAGCCUAAGCCAUCUUAGACACCCUACUGGCAAUUAACGUCUAUGAGCCUAUUUUAUUAACACUUCAAGAAAACUUUAAAUACCUUAACGUUAAACUUACACUAGAACAUUUAUGGAAAGAUUAAAAGAAAAAGAAGGAACUCGGCAAAUAUAAACCCCGCCUGUUUACCAAAAACAUCGCCUCUUGUUCAAAUAUAAGAGGUCUAGCCUGCCCAGUGAUAAAAUUUAACGGCCGCGGUACCCUAACCGUGCGAAGGUAGCAUAAUCACUUGUUCUUUAAAUGAGGACUUGUAUCAACGGCAUCACGAGGGUUUAGCUGUCUCCUUUUUCAUAUCAGUAAAACUAAUCUCCCCGUGAAGAAGCGGGGAUAAAUUUAUAAGACGAGAAGACCCCAUGGAGCUUUAAACCCAGAAACACUCCUACUAACCUUACUUUUUAACAUAUGGACUCUGUGAACUGGUUUUAGGUUGGGGUGACCGCGGAGCAUAAAUUAGCCUCCACAAUGAAUAGACUUCUUCUUUAUCCUUGAUUUACUCCUCUAAGAAUUAGUAUUCUAACAUAAAAUGAUCCGAUUACUCGAUCAACGAACCAGGUUACCCUGGGGAUAACAGCGCAAUCUACUUCAGAGCUCCUAUCGACAAGUGGGUUUACGACCUCGAUGUUGGAUCAGGGUAUCCCGUGGUGCAGCAGCUCUAAGGUCGUUGUUCACGAU
rnacentral:rRNA from 1 species